rnacentral:lncRNA from 1 species
CGCACAUUUGUUCUGGGCUGCGUGAAUUCAUUUCCAGGAGGAUGUUUGAUAUACAUUGAGGCUUAAGAAACUCUGGAUGCCACGAACAAGGCCUGAAGUACUGGAACCGUCUUCGCCCUGAUCAGUGUGUCCCAACCCGCGAUGUAUUCGUUGGCAGAGGGGUGUACUCAACACAUUCACAUCUCCCUUCGCGGAUCAUCUAUUUUAGUCAUGUGAGUUUAA